GACCUGAUAGCACAACGCAGUGCCUCUGCCUUGUUUGAGGAUGUGCAAAACGCUAAGAUGGCAGACAAUCCUGGUUCGAUUCCGGGUCGGGUCA